GGUAAAACAGUCAAGUUAAACGUUAAGGAAUCAGAAAGGAUUGAAAAUGUCAAAGCGUUGCUACAUGAUAAGGAGGGCAUACCGGUAUGUCAUCAGCAACUGUUUUCAGAAGAUAAUAGGUUAAUGGAUGAACGGAAGCUGGUUGAUUAUGGAAUUUGCAAAAACUCCACCCUUCAUACUUAUGUGGAAGAUUUAGUGAUCGUUGAUUUUAUUAUAUGUAAAGAGAUCGUAUGCUGAAGGCGCAAUUACGGUUUAUUCAAGGAUUUACGAUACUAAGGAUGUCAAAUCUAGGAUUGCUGCCAAAGAAGGAACAAACUCGGAAGAAUUCUCUCUUAUUCAUGAUGGUGGUACCGGGAACAAUAAGAUCUUUGUCGGGAAAUGUAAUGGUGAGAGUAUAAUGCUAGACGUGCACAAGCACAAUUUAAUAAAGGAUGUAAAGGGCAUCCUUCUAAAUAAGCUAGGAAUACCAGUUCAUCUGCAAAAUCUUAUGUUUGCGAGAAAAUGUUUAGCUGAUUCCCGGGAUUUAGCUAGCUACAAUAUUCACAAGGAGUCAAUUCUGUAUUUGGUCCUACACAUGACACCCAACGUCGACAACGCCAGAUGAAAUUAUGUUCAGUCAUAGUUGUGGCAAAUUCUCUUACCAGCUCAACCCCCCUUGCUCAUUUGAAUAAGUUAACCGCGAACGAAGUAAAACAACCCGUGAAGGAACUAAUCGUAGGUGGCACACUUGUGAACUUCUCUCUCUAUCUUGAUGACUAUGGAAUCACUGGAGUUGGUCCUCGUGUAUUGAGUGCUUUGGCCUACUUGUGUCAUAUAUACAAAGACAGCAAGUUGUCCGCUGCAUCGCUUGUGAACAUGUUGUUUUUGAUAUUUGGUAUGCUAUGAACUUUUGUUGUUUUAAAAUCCUCUUGGAUUACCUAGUUGCAUGCAUGGACCAAAGUAACAUCGAAAACCAAUAUUGGACCAU